UCAGAAUACAUUGUUUAAUAUACAACUAAUAAUAUUGUAAAAAGUAUACGCACAAUUUGCUUGUUUUUUAUACUGAGUUAAUGUAUAAAUAAGUGUUGUAUGAGGUAUCAAAAUAUAGUAAAUACCUAUCUCGCAGUGGCUUUAGUAGUGCCACGUUUUCUGUUUUAUCGACAAUUUACCCUAUCACCGUCAUAUUGUACUGAUUCAACGCUAAUGAAUCGAUUUGUUUCUUCAAUGAUCCAAUAAUCCAUCCCCCCUUUCAGUUUUAAGAUUGUAAUUUGAAAACUCCCCUUAAUAAUAUGUCUGGCGAUGAUACUGUCG